AUUGAACGCUGGCGGCAUGCCUUACACAUGCAAGUCGAACGGUAACAGGUCUUCGGACGCUGACGAGUGGCGAACGGGUGAGUAAUACAUCGGAACGUGCCCAGGCGUGGGGGAUAACUACUCGAAAGAGUAGCUAAUACCGCAUACGAUCUGAGGAUGAAAGCGGGGGACCUUCGGGCCUCGCGCGAUUGGAGCGGCCGAUGGCAGAUCAGGUAGUUGGUGGGAUAAAAGCUUACCAAGCCGACGAUCUGUAGCUGGUCUGAGAGGACGACCAGCCACACUGGGACUGAGACACGGCCCAGGCUCCUACGGGAGGCAGCAGUGGGGAAUUUUGGACAAUGGGCGAAAGCCUGAUCCAGCAAUGCCGCGUGCAGGAUGAAGGCCUUCGGGUUGUAAACUGCUUUUGUACGGAACGAAAAAGCUUCUCCUAAUACGAGAGGCCCAUGACGGUACCGUAAGAAUAAGCACCGGCUAACUACGUGCCAGCCGCCGCGGUAAGAC
rnacentral:rRNA from 1 species